AAUUCCAAGCUCUGUUGGUUAGAGUGUGGCGCUGUUAAUGCCAAAGUUGCAGGUUGGAUUCCUGUAUGGGACUG